rnacentral:lncRNA from 1 species
ACAGUCUUUCAGGAUGUCUGAAAGGGGCAAGUCUGUUUGUGUGGGGUAAGAAAUGCGGGGAGACAAACGGACAGUGGACAGAUUGCAGAGAGCUCUGUGUGCUGAGAGGAGGGUGCAGACCAGAUUUUUAAAUUGAGAAUGCAACAGUGAAGGAUUUCAAGCUUGGAGUGAGAGGGGAGACUACGAGCCUGCAGUGAUAAGGCAAAGCUGAAGAUUUCAGAGCCAAGGCCACACCCUACAGUUGCCAUGGAAUGGGGUGGCACAGUGGGCUUUGGAGGUAAAGUCUGCAGUUGAGAAGUUCAAGGGUAGUAAGUACUUAAUGCCAGGUCAAUCAUCCCUUUUAAGACACAGAUAUCAUCUGCAGCGUUUUCAGGAACAGCGAUAGAGAAGAAAAGCGGGCAGCUACUAGAUAUUCAAAUCUUCCACAAAUGUCAGGGAGAGAGUCAGGCAGUUGGUAGAAGAGACCUGUAAAGCUGGGUACCAUAAGCCUCAACACAGGUGUUUUUAUUUCAAGGCUGGGGAGCUGUGCUUUGGAAAAGCAAUGAGGAGGUAACAGGAAGUCUCUUCUCCUUCUAAAUCCUGUGUUCAUGGAGGAGGGUGGGUUUUCUCCUCUUGAGAGGGAGUUACAUACAAGUUUAAGGGAAAAGAGUCUGAAGUUUCCACCUAAAUGAUUCUGAAAGAAUCAGGUUAAGAAGCAAAUCUGUUCCGAUGUGAUGCCAACUAAGUACAUGAUCUGAUUGUUCCAGUUAUCCUGUGCCAAAAAGAAGCAAAAAAUGGGCUUUCCACGGAUUAUUGAACACGGUGUCAGUGUGCCUGAGAAACAAGCCUCUAUUAAAAGCUUUCUAGGCAA